GACUCUGUAGUGGAAAUGCUAAGUCACUGCUUGAAGCAGUGAUUGAACACCUGGUGGGAAGGCAGGGCCAACCCAGGGGAGCUCAGCUGCAUGAAAUGUUCCUGAGUGACCAGAUGAGGUGGAUCCAGGAUGCACCCCUUCCCAGACCUCAUUUAAGGGUUGGCAGUGGAGGUAGGGGUAUUUUGCUGGAGAUUCCUGUGUACCUGAGGUCUUCUGAAGGGGGAGCAGAUCUUUCUACCCUGAGAACAGCACAACAGGACUUGGCUGACCACUUGAGACACAAAGGUUUCCAUGGGGGCAGACAGGACAUGGCACAAUCAGGUGUCAGGAGAAUUGGGUGUGCUGAGCCAUGGGCAAAACCAGGCUGUCACAAGCAAGACCUGCAAAAGGCCAUGAAUUUCACGACCUCUACUGCUGCCAGGUUAUAGAGCCAGGGAUUGCCUGCAGAAGAUCUCAUGAAGAUCCAUUCAGAUGCCAUGUGUAUACAAACCUACCUGAAGACCUACUGCUGGUGGAUCCAAUGCCCCUGUGCUAAAGAUGGAAGCCUAGCUUGGAGGCAAAGUGCAUGGGGUGGUGGCCAGACAUCCACAAGGAUACGUCACAAAGGAAAGCUGGGACUGUGAUUUGGGAGCUUGAAGUCAAUACUUGAAUCAUCAGCGUGGACCAAGUUGAAGCUUGUUCGUGAGAAAAUCUGAUUAAACAUAGAGGGAGAAGAGAAGGGGGGGCAGGAUAAAGCUGUGUUCUUUAAGGUCCCUUCUAACCCAAGCCAUUCUGUGGUUCUAUGAAAGCUGGAAAGCCAGCAGGGAUCCUCCAGAGGAGAUGCUCGCAGCUGGCAUGCCACCAGAGAG
ensembl:lncRNA